rnacentral:rRNA from 1 species
UGGGGAAUCUUGCGCAAUGGGCGAAAGCCUGACGCAGCCAUGCCGCGUGAAUGAUGAAGGUCUUAGGAUUGUAAAAUUCUUUCACCGGGGGACGAUAAUGACGGUACCCGGAGAAGAAGCCCCGGCUAACUUCGUGCCAGCAGCCGCGGUAAUACGAAGGGGGCUAGCGUUGCUCGGAAUUACUGGGCGUAAAGGGCGCGUAGGCGGACAUUUAAGUCAGGGGUGAAAUCCCAGAGCUCAACUCUGGAACUGCCUUUGAUACUGGGUGUCUUGAGUGUGAGAGAGGUAUGUGGAACUCCGAGUGUAGAGGUGAAAUUCGUAGAUAUUCGGAAGAACACCAGUGGCGAAGGCGACAUACUGGCUCAUUACUGACGCUGAGGCGCGAAAGCGUGGGGAGCAAACAGGAUUAGAUACCCUGGUAGUCCACGCCGUAAACGAUGAUUGCUAGUUGUCGGGCUGCAUGCAGUUCGGUGACGCAGCU